AGGCUUUGAUCCUGGCUCAGGACGAACGCUGGCGGCGGGCUUAACACAUGCAAGUCGAAGGAGAAGGGUAGUGCUUGCACUGCCUGGAGACUGGCGCACGGGUGAGUAACGCGUAGGCAAUCUGCCCAUAGCAGGGAGAUAACCACUGGAAACGGUGGCUAAUAUCGCAUAAUGCAGCGGGGCCGCAUGGCCACAGUUGUUAAAGGCCUUCGGGCCGGCUAUGGAUGAGCCUGCGUGCCAUUAGUUAGUUGGUAGGGUAAUGGCCUACCAAGGCGAUGAUGGCUAGGGGGUCUGAGAGGAUGAUCCCCCACACUGGGACUGAGACACGGCCCAGACUCCUACGGGAGGCAGCAGUGAGGAAUCUUGCGCAAUGGAGGAAACUCUGACGCAGCCACGCCGCGUGCCGGAAGACGGCCCUAUGGGUUGUAAACGGCUUUUGAUUGGGAAGAACAGGUGGGAUUUGUCCUGCCUUGACGGUACCAUUUGAAUAAGCACCGGCUA
rnacentral:rRNA from 1 species